UACGAAGGGGGCUAGCGUUGUUCGGAAUCACUGGGCGUAAAGCGCACGCAGGCGGAUUGAUAAGUCAGGGUGAAAUCCCGGAGCUCAACUUCGGAAUUGCCUUUGAUACUGUCUAUCUUCGAGUUCGGGAGAGGUUGGCGGAAUUCCUAGUGUAGAGGUGAAAUUCGUAGAUAUUAGGAAGAACACCAGUGGCGAAGGCGGCCAACUGGCCCGAUACUGACGCUCUGUGCGAAAGCGUGG
rnacentral:rRNA from 1 species